AAGACUCUGCCUGGAGGGUGUUUAGGACAUAUCGUUUGGCCCCCGUGUUUUUAUUUGGGAACCAGCUCUGGCCGUGAAGGGUGUGCCUUUAUGUAAAGGAAACCUGAAGCGGUGAUCAAGGUACCCCCCUUUCUUUUUAGGGGGGCCAUAGAGAAAGUCCGCACCACCAAGGUGGUCCCCCC
rnacentral:other from 1 species